rnacentral:siRNA from 1 species
UUAACCCAGGAGAUUACAUAUGGU